CUUUGAUUAAAGUAAUUUUUUUUUUUUUUUGGAAGGUCAAUUAUUCUUACUAAAGUUUGCUUGUGUGCUAAUUUUUUGUUUCCUUUCAUUUCAAGGUUCCAACUGGUUAUGUUUUAUAUCUCAUUUGUUUAUUUAAGUAAAUUGGUAGUUUGAGAAUUCUAUUUUGAUUAUCUUUGUUGGUUGAAUUGUGGUGUUUGCUCACCAAGGGCUAGAUUUUUCUCUGAUAAGUUUUGGUUGAGAUUGAAACAUAAGCACUCUGGUUAUAGCAUGAGAAUUGAGGAAAUAAUUGUAACAUGGUUCUCUUCUGAAUCUAGGUUGCUGUUUUUAGUUGAUGGUUAAUAAUUGUAACAUGGUUCUCUCAUAGUUUUGCUGCUACUCAUUCUAUACUCUAAUCACUUGGAAUUACAUCCUUCACUUUAUUUUUGUUCUUUUUUUGCAUGUAUUCCCCGGACUUUCUUUUAGCUUAUUCUAGUUAUAUGAAAUUCUAUGGGGACAGUUUUAAGGGCUAGAAAUUUCAGAAUGCAGAACUGCAUGAAAUCAGGAAGAAAAAAAUGAUUUGCCAUUGGAACUGAAUGAAAUUAAUUCCUCCAUUAGUAAUUAUCCACCUGGUUGCCAAGAUACGUGUAUUUGAUGGAAGUUAGACUGAUCUCAUCAAUAUUGAUAGGUGUGUGCAAGAAUUGAAGUCCAGUUUAAUCAAUGAAGAAUCCUGAUCUCUUUUUAUAGUAUUUGUGCCUGAUUGCAAAGUGAGACAGUUGUCUGCAAUUCUGCAAUUUUAUCAAUGCAAGGAAGAGUUCAGAUAUGGGAGGUCAUUGCAGGCGCUGAAGAUCUUGUUGAUUGAGAAGGUGUAUUUCUGACCAUGACAUGUUUGAGUAGAGGAUGAGAGGCGUUGGGAUAAUUAGUUAUUAUAGUUUUGGUUUGAUUUCGCCUGUUGCCAUUUCUGUUUGUGAAGCAGUUCCACAAACAAAACUCUCUUUAGUGGAAAUGUUUUUUGCUAAUUAAUUUGUAACCUCUUUGACAAUGAUGAUGAGCUUUUAGAAGUAAAGCUUGAUUAUCUAUGUGCAUGUAUAUUAAUACAUUAUUAGUCAAUAAGGAAUUGUGUACGUACAGAAAAAGAGAGACUUGAUUUGUAA